rnacentral:rRNA from 1 species
GACGUAGGGCGCAAGCGUUGUCCGGAUUUAUUGGGCGUAAAGAGCUCGUAGGCGGCUUGUUGCGUCGUCCGUGAAAACCCGUGGCUCAACUGCGGGCUUGCGGACGAUACGGGCAGGCUGGAGUUCGGUAGGGGAGACUGGAAUUCCUGGUGUAGCGGUGAAAUGCGCAGAUAUCAGGAGGAACACCGGUGGCGAAGGCGGUUCUCUGGGCCUGAUCUGACGCUGAGGAGCGAAAGCGUGGGGAGCGAACAGG